GCGCGGUUCAAUUUUACUCUCAUCUCGUUCGCCGUUUCUUCACUUGACUCAAAACAAUGGAUUCCAUUGAAGAACUACUUGGUAAAACCCUAUACCUAGUGGUGUUGCGGGAUUGUAUGAUUAUGGUCCUCCUGGUUGUGCGAUGUCAUUGCCUUUUGGCGUCAGGGUGAUGUUUCAACCAAGGGUGGCGUGGAAGUACUACUUACGUGCUUGAGACUGAGAAGAGAAGGCAACAGAGAAUUGAGGAGUUGGCAGACAGCAAGUUAAAAAGAAGAGGUUGCUGAGGAAAACAUUGGCUUACCUAACAACAAGUCCCAGAAAAAGAAUGAGCUUAAGCAUGAGAUUGAUCAGGUCUCUGGUGAGCCCAACAAUUCCCUAACAGUGCUAAACUCAUAAUGCCAUCUAACACCAAUCUCAACAGAUUAACUCUGAUUUUUUAAAGAUAAAGGGCACUCUGGAUGCGAAGAAAGAGAGUUUAAAGGAUGGUGAAUCUGACACAUUGCGGCUCAGACAUUUACAAAUUGUGAAUUGGCAGCUGCAACAAAGAACUUCAAGACACAAUGUCUAGUGGGUGAAGGUGGUUUUGGUAGAGUUUAUAAAGGGAGAUUGGAGAGUACAAACCAGGGUGUUGCUUUCAAGAAACUUGAUCGCAAUGGAUUUCAAGGAAACAAGGAAUUCCUGGUUGAGGUUUUGAUGCUAAGUCUAGUAUUCUACUUCACCAUCCCAAUUUAGUCAAUCUAACAGGGUAUUGAGCCGAUGGACAUCAAAUGGCUUUAGGAUCUUUAGAAGAUCAUCUACAUGACCUUCCAGAUGUAAUGCUCGAGCAGGUAUCUUACAGCUACUUGAUGUCCAAUCCACCCGUUUUACGCAAGUAUGGAUUUCAUCUUGUUCUUGUGGGUAACACUAAAAUACAUCUGAUCAGAGGAAACAUGCAAUUCGGACUUAAUAGAGGGGUCUUCUGUUUACAAAGGAGACACUUGGAAGUAAAUAAAUGAUCAUGUUCAUUUUCAUAUGGGGAAGUGCUAUGUGUUCUUGAGUUAUUUGAUGUGGGCGCAAUCCAAACAUAUGUCAGAAAUCCUGGCAUGUAGUCACCAGUCUAUCGUGACCAAGAGUUAUUUGAAAGAGACUUUCUUCAAAUUGUUCAGAAAAUUGUGAAACUUCAGUUGCCGGUAACCUGCCCUCUCUGGAAGUCAUUUUUGAAGAUCAUCAAACUUUUGCUUCAUCUACUGCUGUUAAUGUUGAAGAAAGUGUGUGUCGGUCACUGGUGGAGGAUAUGGUUCCUUCAAUACCUACCAUGCGGUUUAAUUGGCUGGAAUGGCAACCUAAGUACUCAAGGAAACACAAGGAUUCUAAUAUCUGUGGAGCUGGAGGGACUGGCUCACUCACCACCGAGAUCCAUUAUUCAGCAUUUGCAUAUUUGUUUGGACACUAGUUGUGACAGAGAUCUGGAGAAGGUUUACGAAUCGGGUGUUUAUAUACAAGUUCGGAAUCUGGGUUUAAGGCAUUCGAUAAGAAUACGGCUGUAGGACUCAAACAUUUCAUAGUUAUGAUGCUAGCGACAAAGGAGGUGUUUAAUUAUGAGAUAAAUUGGGCGGUGGUUGACAAGUAUGUGUUGCAUUAGAUGAUGAGACCCUGGAUUUCAAAUAUUGCAAAAACAAAAAAAAAAAACUCAACAGCAAAAUUUCCUGAAUCCAUCAUAUCCAGUGCAAAUCCAAACAUCAAGUUGUAGAAGGCGGAAGGGAAGAAUUAUAUGCCCUCUGACAAUAACUUGCGUCAGCAAGAUCCAGUCUAGAACGGUGAGGAGAGUAGCGAUCAUGUUGAACGUGUGAUUCAAAGGAAUAGGUGCUACAGUUAUUCAUCAUUUUGGCGCCAGAUAAAAAUGUUCGACUUUGAGACGCUUCAUGAAGCAAACCGGUUAGGGAGUGCAAUUCCAAGAAAUAUAGUGAAGUUGUCCUCUUACGAGGUUGGUUGAUUGGGCCGUGUCUAGCAAGGUGAGACUCUUCCCCGCCGGAUGGUGUUUCUUCACGUUCACUGUCAGGAAGAGCUGCAUAUAGAUUGAGACCAUGGAUUUUCCGUGAGAUUUUGGAGUUUGUAUACGUCCAGAAGAAGCAGUUAUUCGUGUUGUUGACUAUAUUGUCUCGAGAAUCAAAGACCAUGCUAAUACAAAACAUAUUUUUUGGAGCUUGUCAAGCCUAGCUUGGAUGAUGGAUCUGAAAUUUUUGUGCUAAACUUGUGGAUGGAUGAAAGGAGGUUCAUUUAUGUCCUAGUGCUGAAUCCAUAUCCAGUUUGGCCAAUUUCAAAGCAUAGUUGUGCUCAAGUUUGUGUCUGUACCAGGACUUGAUCCCUUUUCGGUUAUUGACAGAGAGAGGUCAGUUAGAGAAAGGGUGCAAAUUUCAUAGUAUGGUGACAGGUUAAGUCAAAACUGUCAUUUUAUGAUUGUUGCAUUUGACUACGAGAACCUUUGCAAGCUGAAACAGAUUAAUGAAACAAAAGCAGAGCUUUUCUCUUGCGAGAUAAAGUGGGGUGUUUAUGAAAAGGGGAGCUGAAACUGAACUUGGUUAUUGCUGCAUACUUGUUGACUUUGGUGACAGCAGGAGUUGAAGAUGAACAUGCAGGAAGGUAUAUGGAUAGAGACUUUAUUGCUCAUUCGGCGGAUACAAGAGCAAAAUUGUUUUUUAGUCAAGUAAUGACCAAUUUGACAUUAUGUAAACCAAAAUUUGUUUGUGAUAGUAAUUUUUUUUUUAUUCUUAUUAUCUUUCUUUUUUUUUUAUGUAAAAAGUUAAUAUAUUAAAUCAAGCAAUAUA